rnacentral:rRNA from 1 species
UACGUAGGGUGCAAGCGUUGUCCGGAAUUAUUGGGCGUAAAGAGCUCGUAGGCGGUUUGUCGCGUCUGCUGUGAAAACCCGAGGCUCAACCUCGGGCCUGCAGUGGGUACGGGCAGACUAGAGUGCGGUAGGGGAGAUUGGAAUUCCUGGUGUAGCGGUGGAAUGCGCAGAUAUCAGGAGGAACACCGGUGGCGAAGGCGGGUCUCUGGGCCGAUACUGACGCUGAGGAGCGAAAGCAUGGGGAGCGAACAGG